ACCUGGUUGAUCCUGCCAGUAGUCAUAUGCUUGUUUCAAAGACUAAGCCAUGCAUGUCUAAGUAUACAUGAUAUACAGUUAAACUGCGAAUGGCUCAUUAAAAAAGUUAUAGUUUAUUUGAUAGAUUUUUAUAUGGAUAACCGUAGUAAUUCUAGAGCUAAUACAUGCUUGAACGCCUGACCUCCUGGAAGGGCUGUAUUUAUUAGAUAAAGACCAUCAUUUUUGGUGAUUCAUAAUAACUGAUCGGAUCGCCUGGGCAUUGCCAGCGAUAAAUCAUUUUAAGUUUCUUCCCUAUCAGCUUUGAUGGUAGUGUAUUGGACUACCAUGGCGUUAACGGGUAACGGAGAAUUAGGGUUCGAUUCCGGAGAGGGAGCCUGAGAAACGGCUACCACAUCUAAGGAAGGCAGCAGGCGCGUAAAUUACCCAAUCCUGACUCAGGGAGGUAGUGACAAGAAAUAGCAACGGAGGGCAUUCUUUGUCUUGCGAUUGCAAUGGGUACAACUUAAAACCCUUAACGAGUAACAAUUGGAGGGCAAGUCUGGUGCCAGCAGCCGCGGUAAUUCCAGCUCCAAUAGCGUAUAUUAAAGUUGUUGCAGUUAAAAAGCUCGUAGUUGGAUUUCUGGAGAGGUACAGAGUCCGUCCUCGUUGAUGGACUUA
rnacentral:rRNA from 1 species